rnacentral:lncRNA from 1 species
GGCAGAGGAAGGCAGGCUGGUCCCCGCGGGCAGCUGGCAGGUCCCCCAGGAGGGCCUGAGGUGGUGCCAUGGGCAUGCACGGAGCUCCCGACUGCUCCCCGCAGGAGGUGCCACCCGAGGACACUGGCUCAGAGAGGUGGGCAUUUGCAGAGGGGUCUGGAGUGCAGGCAAGCCCAGCCCCAGCUCUAGGCUGCUGUCCAGCCCCACAGCUAGGAAGGCAGGGGAUGCCCUUGACGGGGCCAGGCCAGGGCCAGUGGCUCCCUUCCUGGGCUCGGUGCAAACGCGGCCCUCCCCCGCCGCGUGGGGGCCCUCCUGGAUGUCAUUAUUUCCUUAUUUCUCCUCCCAGGCACCAUACGGGCUGCCUCCCUCCCGUCCAGCAGGCGGCCCGGGACUUGGCAACACUGGGCUUUCUAGAAAUAACAACGGGAAGGGAAAAGCGCCUUCCAGGAGGCCGUCCUCCACUCCCUUGUAAAAGACCUCCCCGCGCCCCUCCCCCACUUCCUCUGUGGGCGGGGACUGUGGGCGCGCAGGGGGCCUCUGUGACCCCACGAGCGCCCUCGGGGCGCAGCUGAGGGGGCUGCCACAGGACAGUCAGAUGGCAUGGGGCGGAAGGGUCGCCGGGAGGCCCCGCAGCUUCCUGGCCUCCCCGACGGGACAUUUCAUGG